CAUCAUUCUCGACGAUUCCUUCCAUGUCUCCAGAAUAAUGCUUCAAAACGAAAAUUUCCAGCAUCAACAACAACAGCAGCAACAACAGCAACAUUAUAACUGGGAGGAAGGUCUGCAUCAGGCUUGGAGGAACUGAUAAUGGGUUGCACUUCAUCAUCAGAUAAUAAAGAAGGAUCAUCCAUUACAAACCCACAAGAAGCUGAAUGGUUGAAGUACUCUUCAUUCUGGCCUGACCCUGACAACCAGGAUCAUCAUGGGUAGAAAAAAAGAAAAAAUUGUCAAAAGAAAGGAAAUUCCUUACAGACAUCAUUAUUAGUAUACCUGAAGCCUAGCUCUGGUCAAGUUCUUUUCAAGGA